rnacentral:lncRNA from 1 species
UAUACCAAAAUUGAUUAAAAUUAAAAAUUAGGCACAUAAUUAAGCUUCUUCAAUUCAAUAUUUCAAUUUACUACACCAUUGAAGUUACCAGCAUAACAAUCGCAAUUACAAAUCGGGAAGAUAAGAACGCGAGUUAAAAGCUCAAUAAAAAAAAUCUUCAAGCAAAAAAGAGCAUAAUCAAUUGAAAAUCGAAGAUCUAAAUAACGAAUUUACAAACGAGAGAGGAAUUUACUUAAAUGAGUAGAGAGAGAGGUGAAAAGGAAGGUUGGGAAUGGAUAAUUGAUGGCAGUGAAUUGUUGAAAUUUGGCAGAGAAAGAAGAAGCCCUAGAUUUGGGGAUCGAGAGAGAGAGAGAGAGAGAGAGAGUACCUUUUACGACUUGCGUGUGAAACUCGAAGACGCAAAGUGUUUGGGAGAGAAAAACUCAAAGACCAAUCAGUUUGCUUAAUAAGCUUUCUUUUCUUUUACGGAAAUGCCUGCUUAUGUUUCGCCCAAUUACACAUAUUGCCACCUGUUUA